rnacentral:rRNA from 1 species
CGGUAACUCUAGCUCCAAUAGCGUAUACUAAAGUUGUUGCAGUUAAAAAGCUCGUAGUUGGAUUUCUGCGGGGACGGAGCGGCCGGACGCAACUUGCGUCUCGAGCUAGCGCUUUCCCCGCAUCCUGCCGCGAACCGUGCUACCAUUAGUUUGGUGGCGCUGGGGAUCGGCUCGAUUACUUUGAGAAAAAUAGAGUGUUCAAAGCAGGCCACACGCCUUGAAUAAGUUAGCAUGGAAUAAUGACUAAGGACUUUGGUUCUUUUCGUUGGUGUUCGGGACUGAAGUAAUGAUUGAUAGGGACAGUUGGGGCGGUCCGUAUUCCAAAGCGAGAGGUGAAAUUCUUAGACCUUCGGAAGACGAACAGCUGCGAAAGCGUUCCGCAAGGAUGUUCCCUUUGAUCAAGAACGAAAGUUGGGGGAUCGAAGACGAUCAGAUACCGUCGUAGUCUCAACUAUAAACUAUACCAGCUAGGGAUCGGCCAACGUUUAAUUAUUCGACUUGGUCGGCACCUUAUGAGAAAUCAAAGCAUCUGGGUUCCGGGGGGAGUAUGGUCGCAAGGCUGAAACUUAAAGGAAUUGACGGAAGGGCACCACCAGGCGUGGAGCCUGUGGCUUAAUUUGACUCAACACGGGAAAACUUACCAGGUCCAGACAUAGGAAGGAUUGACAGAUUGAUAGCUCUUUCUUGAUUCUGUGGGUGGUGGUGCAUGGCCGUUUUUAGUCGGUGAAGUGAUUUGUCUGCUUAAUUGCGUUAACGGACGAGACCCCAGCCUGCUAAAUAGCGCGGCCGAGCUUUGCUCGGUACGAGCUUCUUAGAGGGACCAUGAUGCGCGAUAGCACAAGGAAGUUUGGGGCAACAACAGGUCUGUGAUGCCCUUAGAUGUUCUGGGCCGCACACGGGCUACACUGGCGCCUGCAACGAGCAUAUCAGCUGGCCCGAGAGGGUCUUGGCUAAUCUUUGGAACCGGCGCCGUGCUUGGGAUUGACCAUUGCAAUUGUUGGUCAUGCAACGAGGAAUGCCUUGUAAACGCGAGUCAUCAGCUCGCAUUGAAUACGUCCCUGCCCUUUGUACACACCGCCCGUCGCUCCUACCGAUGAAUGUUCCGAUGAAAUUUUCGGAGAGCGCCGGAGAACGGGGCUCUGCCCUGCAGAACUGGAGGCUCAAAGUCACUUAAAUCUGAACAUUUCGAGGAAGGAGAAGUCGUAACAAGGUAACC